UACGGGGGGGGCAAGCGUUGUUCGGAAUUACUGGGCGUAAAGGGCGCGUAGGCGGCCUUCUAAGUCGGACGUGAAAUCCCUCGGCUCAACCGGGGAACUGCGUCCGAUACUGGCGGGCUUGAAUUCGGGAGAGGGAUGUGGAAUUCCAGGUGUAGCGGUGAAAUGCGUAGAUAUCUGGAGGAAGACCAGUGGCGAAGGCGGGUCUCUGGACAGUUCCUGACGCUGAGGCACGAAGGUCAGGGGAGCAAACGGG
rnacentral:rRNA from 1 species